UUCCGGUUGAUCCUGCCGGAGAUCACUGCUAUUGGGAUUCGACUAAGCCAUGCGAGUCGAGAGGGUUCGGCCCUCGGCUGACGGCUCAGUAACACGUGGAUAAUCUGCCCUUAGGUGGAGGAUAAUCUCGGGAAACUGAGGAUAAUACUCCAUAGAUCUAGGAUGCUGGAAUGCAUCUAGAUUGAAAGCUCUGGCGCCUAAGGAUGAGUCUGCGGACUAUCAGGUUGUAGUCGGGGUAAAGACCUGACUAGCCUACGACGGAUACGGGUUGUGAGAGCAAUAACCCGGAGACGAUAUCUGAGACACGAUAUCGGGCCCUACGGGGCGCAGCAGGCGCGAAAACUUCACACUGUGCGAAAGCGCGAUGAGGGAAUCCCAAGUGUUUGCUCGUAAGAGUAAACUGUUUCUUUGUUUAAAACGCAGAGAGAGUAAGGGCUGGGUAAGACGGGUGCCAGCCGCCGCGGUAAUACCUGCAGCUCAAGUGGUGAUCAUUAUUAUUGGGCCUAAAACGUCCGUAGCCGGUUUAGUAAAUGCCUGGGUAAAUCGUGUAGCUUAACUAUACGACUUCCGGGUAGACUGCUAAACUUGAGACCGGGAGAGGCUAGAGGUACUCCUGGGGUAGAGGUGAAAUUCUGUAAUCCUAGGGGGACCACCAGUGGCGAAGGCGUCUAGCUAGAACGGGUCUAACGGUGAGGGACGAAGCCCUGGGGCACAAACCGGAUUAGAUACCCGGGUAGUCCAGGGUGUAAACGCUGCUUGCUUGAUGUUAGUUGGGCUCCGAGCCCAACUAGUGUCGGAGAGAAGUUGUUAAGCAAGCUGCCUGGGAAGUACGGUCGCAAGGCUGAAACUUAAAGGAAUUGGCGGGGGAGCACAGCAACGGGUGGAGCGUGCGGUUUAAUUGGACUCAACGCCGGU
rnacentral:rRNA from 1 species